UACGUAGGGGCAAGCGUUGUCCGGAUUAUUGGGCGUAAAGAGCGUGUAGGCGGCUUUACAGGUCCGCUGUGAAACUCGAGGCUCAAACCUCGAGCUGUCGGUGGAAAAACGUAGGGGGCUAGAGUCCGGAAGAGGAGAGUGGAAUUCCCCCGGUGUAGCGGUGAAAAUGCGCAGAUAUCGGGGGAAAAGAACACCCCGUGGCGAAAAGGCGGGGCUCUCUGGGGACGGUACUGA
rnacentral:rRNA from 1 species